CUCUCUGCUGCCAAAACUUCUGGAGCUCACUGGCAGGCAAACUGGUUUCAUUUUCAGAGAUGAUGGUUUCCAUUUCUGUGGCUUUCCACCAAGAAGACAAAGCUAAGCUAUGUCUCUGGGAUCCAGUGGGGAUUCCCAGGGAGUACAAAGGGCUUAAGGGCCAGGACAGCUCCACUCCCAGAACUAGCUCUUCCCAGGAGCAGUCAAGGCUGCCAGGGGUGCAGAGCUGGGGACAGAUAGGCCUUUGCGAUGUCCUUCGGAGAGAGGUGGCUUGAGCCGCUGUGGCUGGCCUCAGGGAAUCCCACAGUGCAGUGCAAUUCGGAGUUGCCACGCCCCAGGCUUUAUCAGCUCAGAGCACAGGAGACAAGGCAAAAUCUAACCCUUAAACCCAGAUCACAGGAAAACAAAGGAACUGGUUGGUAUGGGACAGCCAAUCCAGCCCAGGGACAUGUAAGGGCUUUUCCUAUGUGCAGCAUGGAACCGGUUCCUAGGAGAGCCACCAUUCAGCACAGAGACAUCAGUAAAGGCCAACAAGAAAGGGGUUAGCCUGCAGAGGUGCCCUCCAGUUCCAACAUAACUUAGGGGAAAAGGUGGCAGCCUGGCCGGCCAGCAUGGUGGAAUGUCAGCAGAAGGAAUGCAAGAUAAAGUCACCAAGGGCCCAUGACCGAAGGCAAACACUGAACUUGCAGGUCCCAAGCUCUGCCUUCAGUCACCUGCCAUCGGAACCGCCAGCAGUCCCUCCAGAGGGAAGACCAGUGCACUUGGGGAAGAGCAGGAGGGCAGCAGGGUUUGUCAGCUGCCAGCCUGGAGCAGAGGAAGAGGCAGGCUGUAGAAAGGGCUGGAGCACAGCUCUACCCACACCAGGCUCAGGGAAGGCUUGGAUGUCAGUUUUCCAUGGUCUGAAACUCCAGCAGACCCUGCACAGCACCCCACCCAGGCCCACAGCAUCUGAGACGAGUGUGGCCUGGCCCUGCCUAGGGCUGUGCCUGGUUGUGUCUAGGGCACCCAGAUGUCCUCCUGCUGCUGGCCGUGGCUUCCCUCAGCUCUGCUCCAGGCUGUCGUCGGUGGGCUGCACCACGGUGUAGCUUCCCUGGCUGGAGGAGAGCUGUCGGCUGAAGAAGGAGGUGGUUCGCUUUGGUUUCACCCGCUUGAUCCCCUUGCCUGUGAGGGUGACAGAGAGGCUGAGAAGAGGCACUGGGUAGGUGGCCCACACCCCAGGAGGCUGGGCUCCACUCUUACUGGGUCAGUUUCUCCUGGAGUCGCUUAAACUGUGCUUCCCCAUCAGAACUGUCAUCACUGAGCCUGUCCCUGGGCUGUAUCAUCAGUGGCAGGAGGGCCCCAUGGUCACCUCCACCAUCCCAUCAGAAGCUCCAGAAGACUCCAGACUGACUGCUGGGUGACGACCACUAAGACAGGGAUAGCUGAGGAUGGGAAGCCAAAUAAAAGAUGGAGGGC
rnacentral:lncRNA from 1 species